rnacentral:rRNA from 1 species
UACGAAGGGGGCUAGCGUUGCUCGGAAUGACUGGGCGUAAAGGGCGCGUAGGCGGCCACGCACGUCCGUUGUGAAAUCGCCCGGCUCAACUGGGCGGGGUCGGCGGAUACGGCGUGGCUGGAGCAAGCUAGGGGGCAAUGGAAUUCCCGGUGCAGUGGUGGAAUGCGUAGAUAUCGGGAGGAACACCAGUGGCGAAGGCGGUUGCCUGGAGCUUUGCUGACGCUGAGGCGCGAAAGCGUGGGGAGCGAUCCGG